GACGGACGCUGGCGGCGUGCUUAACACAUGCAAGUCGAGCGGUAAGGCCCUUUCGGGGGUACACGAGCGGCGAACGGGUGAGUAACACGUGGGCGACCUGCCCUCAGCUCUGGGAUAAGCCUGGGAAACCGGGUCUAAUACCGGAUAUGACUCCAUGACGCAUGUUGUGGGGUGGAAAGCCUUGUGCGGCUGAGGAUGGGCCCGCGGCCUAUCAGCUUGUUGGUGGGGUGAUGGCCUACCAAGGCGACGACGGGUAGCCGGCCUGAGAGGGCGACCGGCCACACUGGGACUGAGACACGGCCCAGACUCCUACGGGAGGCAGCAGUGGGGAAUCUUGCGCAAUGGGCGAAAGCCUGACGCAGCGACGCCGCGUGAGGGAUGACGGCCU
rnacentral:rRNA from 1 species